CAUACCUUUCGGUUCGGAAUAGCCCCGGGAAACUGGGUGUAAUACCGAAUACGUCCUUAGGGAGAAAGAUUUAUCGCCGAAAGAUUGGCCCGCGUUAGAUUAGAUAGUUGGUGAGGUAACGGCUCACCAAGUCGACGAUCUAUAGCUGGUUUGAGAGGAUGAUCAGCCACACUGGGACUGAGACACGGCCCAGACUCCUACGGGAGGCAGCAGUGAGGAAUCUUGGACAAUGGGCGCAAGUGAUCCAGCCAUGCCGCGUGAAUGAUGAAGGCCUUAGGGUUGUAAAAUUCUUUCAGCAGGGAAGAUAAUGACGGUACCUGCAAAAGAAGCCCCGGCUAACUCCGUGCCAGCAGCCGCGGUAAUACGGAGGGGGCUAGCGUUGUUCGGAAUUACUGGGCGUAAAGCGCUCGUAGGCGGAUUGGUCAGUCAGAGGUGAAAGCCCAGGGCUCAACCUUGGAAUUGCCUUUGAUACUGCCAGUCUUGAGUUCAGGAGAGGUAAGCGGAAUUCCGAGUGUAGAGGUGAAAUUCGUAGAUAUUCGGAGGAACACCAGAGGCGAAGGGGCUUACUGGACUGAUACUGACGCUGAGGAGCGAAAGUGGGGAGCAAACAGGAUUAGAUACCCUGGUAGUCCACGCCGUAAACGAUGAGAGCUAGUUGUCUGGCAGCAUGCUGUUAGGUGACGCAGCUAACGCAUUAAGCUCUCCGCCUGGGGAGUACGGCCGCAAGUUAAAACUCAAAGAAAUUGACGGGGGCCCGCACAAGCGUGGAGCAUGUGGUUUAAUUCGAAGCAACGCGCAGAACCUUACCUACCCUUGACAUUUGGU
rnacentral:rRNA from 1 species